AGUUUUGAGCUAAAUAUAUUUAUAAUAUUAGUUAUUUAUAAAGGUGUUGUAAAAUCUUUAUUUAAAAUUAUAUUUAGGGGUGAUAGGCCUUUCAAAAACUAAGAUAUCUUGAAUCUAAUUAAAAGUAUGUAGUACAAUUAACACAACUAUUAAGUGAUUAGGCUUUAUAGAAUUAUUAACUUAUAAGAUUUUAUUUACUAUAAUUUAAUAAUUAAGUACAUAAAUAUAUUAAUAUUCAUAUAUUAUAGUUUAUAAAAGAGUAAUUAGAUAGAUUUAAGUUCAUAUUUCUUAUAAUAAUGUUAAUAUUAGUAUUAAGUUUAUAUUUAUAUGAUGAACUCGGCAAAAAUACUUCUCAACUGUUUAUCAAAAACAUAACUAUGUGAAUGAAUACAUAGCGGUUUCUGCUCAA
rnacentral:rRNA from 1 species